rnacentral:rRNA from 1 species
GACGUAGGGCGCGAGCGUUGUCCGGAUUUAUUGGGCGUAAAGAGCUCGUAGGCGGCUUGUUGCGUCGGCUGUGAAAACCCGCGGCUUAACCGUGGGCUUGCAGCCGAUACGGGCAGGCUAGAGUUCGGUAGGGGAGACUGGAAUUCCUGGUGUAGCGGUGAAAUGCGCAGAUAUCAGGAAGAACACCCGUGGCGAAAGCGGCUCUCUGGAACGGUACUGACGCUGAGACGCGAAAGCGUGGGGAGCGAACAGG